CCUGGUGGUUCAGGGGCGUAUGUACCACCCGAUCCCAUUCCGAACUCGGAAGUGAAAGUGCGCUUCGUCGAUGAUACUGCCGCAAGGUGGGACAGUAGACUCCGCCGGGA
rnacentral:rRNA from 2 species